GAUUAGGAAACUGAGACUCAGAGCAGGCAUAUGGCCGAGGUUACCCAGGCUGAAUGCUCAGUGUAUCGGUGAUGAUUCAUCGUUGAUUGAAAGAAGGUUGGAAAAUGCCACGGGAAAGCUGUAGAUCUGCAUACAGAUAUCUCGAUGAUCAAGAGCAGCCAGCAGUCAGAGGUGACUGGCCCUCUGUCGUUGGUGUUAGCAAGGAGGAUAAAGACAGUGUCUGCUUUUAGAAAAAGCAUUUAGGUGAAUCUCCUGGCUGAGUGCUCCUGUGGGGCUUGGAUAAUGCUGAUGAAUAUGUGCAUUUUGAAAUGAUCAGGAGUCAGCCUGAUAAUCCAUCACACGUAAAGAUGCCUUUGGGAACAACUAACCCUUUCUUUGCUCCUGUGAAGUUCAACCCCUUAUGAGAAGGGGCUCGUAGGCAUCAUUACCACAGGGUUUAUCAUCAUUAUCAGCCUUCAUGGUUGCCAGCAUGAGUUCCUGAAAAGCCUGCUUACGUAUGGUACUUAGAUAAAGCUGUGUCUAGGACAAGCCUCACUGCUGCCCUCAGUAGUCUUGAGAUCCAACCCAUUCCAGUCUAUGCACUAGGAGACUGGGUGAGGUGGUAGAACAAAGCAUGGCCUCUGGAAUCUGGAACCUAGGUCUGGAU